GAUGAACGCUGGCGGCGUGCCUAAUACAUGCAAGUCGAGCGAACAGACGCGAAGCUUGCUGCGCGGAUGUUUGCGGCGGGCGUGUGUGUAACACGAGUAUCACCUACCUAUAAGAGUGGUAACACUUCGGGAAACCUGCGCAUAUACCGGAUGAUCUGUUGAACCCCAUGGGGCAGAUGGGAAAGACGGUCUUGCUGUGGCUUAUGCAUGGGUCCGUGCUGCAUUAGCUAGUGGGUAAGGUAAAGGCUUACCAUGGCAACGAUGCAUAGCCGAACUGAGAGGGUGAUAGGCCACACUGGAACUGAGACACGGUCAAGAGGCCUACGGGAGGCAGCAGUAGGGAAUCUGCCGCAAUGGGCGAAAGCCUGACGGAGCAACGCCGCGUGAGUGAUGAAGGUCUUCGGAUCGUAAAACUCUGUUAUUAGGGAAGAAAAUAUGUGUAAGUAACUGUGCACAUCGUGACGGUACCUAAUCAGAAAGCCACGGCUAACUACGUG
rnacentral:rRNA from 1 species